UGACACUCUCUUGUCUCUGCCUAAAGCAGGAGCUCAAAAGGCAGGAGUGGGGUCUGGGCCCCGCCGCUGACAGUCACAUGACCCUCUUAGGCUCAGAGCCCUGUUCUCUCAGUCAGUCCCUCUCCCCAGGCCCGGCCUUUCCCUUCACCUCUCCUUUGGUCUCUCCCUGUCUCUCUGUGUCCACCAAGGUCUCUCUGUGUUUUCCCCUCACACUCCACCUCCAUCCCUGUCCCUCUCUCACUCUCCGUCAGUCUUGGGCAUAAGCUAGGUACAUCCCACUUUUAGGAGGGUGACCAAGUGACCAGGGAGGAGGCCUGGGACUCAGGGAUGAGACUCUGCCCAACCUCAUUCACUCUCUAGGAGUAAUUUGUGUCCUUCUGGCCACUGUGCCGGGUUGUGUCAAGGGAGAGCAAAGCCUCACUUCUAUAACCAGCCGUAGCUCACACUUGCCCUGGUGGACAGAGCCUUGUUGUGAGGCCUGGAGAAGUGGCACCAGGCCUCCGUUUCUACGUCUAACCAAAGGGGAUCAGAUUCCCACCCUCCUCAUGGGAUCAUCGUGGAGUUCAGCUGACGUAACAUUUGCCAAGGCUACGCACAAUCCCUGGCACGUGCUAGGAGCCCCACGAGUGUGAGCUCAUUUGUUUUGUUCAGUUGUUCAACACGCACUCCCCUAGCACCUCCCCAUGCCAGGGCUGGCCUGCACGCUGGGGGACAUGGAGAUGCCCAGGGCCAAAGAAUUCUGUGACAUUCUCAGCCUGAGGGAGAGACAGACAUCAAAGCCACACAACCACAGUGUGUCAUGACUGAGGCCGAGAGACAAGGGGCCUUGGUCAAGGCAGUGUGGGGACAGAGGAACAACUCAUCGGAGGCAGAAUGGGCCACCUGGAGAGGGUCACUCUCAGCCAAGACCUGACGGCUGUAUGGAGAGGCGGAAAAGAAUGUUUUAAACCAGGGGAGGGGGCAUGGUGGGGUCAAAUGGUGGGGAGACAUGAGGGGUAAGGCUGGCGAGAAAUGGGGCAGGAGGGAGUGUGGGGGGCAGACAGAGUGGGGUCCUCAAAGCUGUUGUAAAGAGCUCAGACUUGGCCAGGUGUGGUGGCUCACGCCUGUAAUCCCAGCACUUUGGGAGGCCGAGGCGGGUGGAUUACCUAAGGUCAGGAGUUCGAGACCAGC
rnacentral:lncRNA from 10 species